GAUGAACGCUGACGGCGCGCCUAAUACAUGCAAGUCGAGCGAACGGACGAGAAGCUUGCUUCUCUGAUGUUAGCGGCGGACGGGUGAGUAACACGUGGAUAACCUACCUAUAAGACUGGGAUAACUUCGGGAAACCGGAGCUAAUACCGGAUAAUAUUUUGAACCGCAUGGUUCAAAAGUGAAAGACGGUCUUGCUGUCACUUAUAGAUGGAUCCGCGCUGCAUUAGCUAGUUGGUAAGGUAACGGCUUACCAAGGCAACGAUGCAUAGCCGACCUGAGAGGGUGAUCGGCCACACUGGAACUGAGACACGGUCAGACUCCUACGGGAGGCAGCAGUAGGGAAUCUUCCGCAAUGGGCGAAAGCCUGACGGAGCAACGCCGCGUGAGUGAUGAAGGUCUUCGGAUCGUAAAACUCUGUUAUUAGGGAAGAACAUAUGUGUAAGUAACUGUGCACAUCUUGACGGUACCUAAUCAGAAAGCCACGGCUAACUACGUG
rnacentral:rRNA from 1 species